rnacentral:rRNA from 1 species
AUUGAACGCUGGCGGCAGGCCUAACACAUGCAAGUCGAGCGAGCGUCGGACGGGUGAGUAAUGUAUGGGGACUGCCCGAUAGAGGGGGAUCACUACUGGAAACGGUGGCUAAUACCGCAUACUGUCUGAUUACCCAUAUGGGAUUAGCUAGUGGGUAAGGUAAUGGCUUACCUAGGCGACGAUCCCUAGCGGGUCUGAGAGGAGGAUCAGCCACACUGGGACUGAGACACGGCCCAGACUCCUACGGAGGCAGCAGUGGGGAAUAUUGCACAAUGGGCGCAAGCCUGAUGCAGCCAUGCCGCGUGUAUGAAGAAGGCCCUAGGGUUGUAAAGUACUUUCAGUCGGGAGGCGUUACCGACAGAAGAAGCACCGGCUAACUCCGUGCCAGCCGCCGCGGUAAUUC